rnacentral:lncRNA from 1 species
ACUAAGUUAUCGAACAUCAAACUGUAUGACCUGAAAUUAUAAAAUAACUAUGUCAAUAGAUAAAAUAUAAUAAUCCUCAAUUCCAGAGUAGUUGGAGCUCGCUUUAUAAUCACUUACAAUCCAUUUUACUCCUUCUGGACCCGUUACACUCCAAAUCUACAAUCAAGUGACAAUAUCCUCAGAAAAGAACUAGAGGGAAAAAGGAGAGAAUAUAUGCAUACAAUAUUAGUUAAGCACAACUAAGAAAGUUUACAAUGCACUGUAGAUAUAUACAUAAGCAACACAAAAUAUAAGAGAAAUAUAAGACAUAAAUGAUCACACCAAUGUAGAAAGCAAAAACAUGUAUACUAUAAGCUAGACUUGGUGGGAUUUCACUUAAGAAGAAGCUGUAGUUCUUAUGUAAACCUCAAUUUUUCUGCUGUCAAAACACUGCCCCAAGUAGGUUAUUUUUUUUCACUCUAGAAUAACAAUUCAGUUUUUGGUUUCAAAACCAACUCAAACUAUCCAAAUUUUCCAGUUGAAUAUCAAAAUCUAAUGUUAACCAACUAGUUUAGAGCUACUAUAUAUUCAAAAUAAAGUCAAAAAAACUAGUUCACAACUAAAUAUUACUACCUGCAGCCUUCACCAAAGAGCCAGCUUUUUAUAGAUUCAAAAGGCACCUAUUUUUCUAUCCAGAAAGUAGAUUUAUUGAUCAAAAUUAAGUAUACCGAAAUGGUUAUCAUUAAGUAAUUGGCUAAUGCACAACACCACCAGACCAACCAUCCGGGUAGUGAAAAGAUAAGUUAUCACAGCUACGAACUAACUAUAUGUUAAAUACCAAUCUGCAGAAGUUCAUGGACUUUUCAUGCCUAAAAUCACACCAAACUCUUGCAGCUGCAAUGGAUAAGAUGACACAUUUAGUCAACUUUUUACUUGUAAGCAACACUUACUUGAGUAGACUAUUCAGAUAACUGAUUGAAGGCCAUAUAAUUCUAUAGUGCUACUGAAUGUAGUCACGUACUGUAAUUGUAUGUGGAAAAAGAUACUUCCAUUAGUAGACAAUAUCUUCUAUAGCCAUAAGAGAUUUUUUUGUGGGUCGUUCACAAUUGGAAUAUUCAAUUGUAUCUAAAUAUAAAGAGUUUUAAAAAAUGGGUUUCAACUAUUGAGAAUUGAAUGACAUUUUUUGAAUCAAUAAUAAGUAUAAACUACAUAAAAUAUGCAUGUAACUUAUAUUUUUAUCUACUUGUGGCAUAAAGGUGGCUUCCUAAAAAAUAUAUUGUAGACAAAGGUGGCAGGGGAGUAGCAUGGACUGAAAUAAACUUAAAACCAUAGUUGCUAAAAUAGUCAAUGUUACUGGUACAUGAAUUAGUAAGUAGGAAAAUGAAUUCAAUCUAUAAAAACCAAUGAAAACACUAGUUCACUGAAAUAUGAUCAUCGUCAUUGGGUUGAUUUAUCAUAUGUCAAAUGGUAUUAAUUGUUGCUCAAUUUAUUGUUAUUGAAACUCUUGUUUACUUUUGUUUAUCCAACUAACAGUAUGAUAAUUACAGUGAAAAAUCAAGAUCCCAAGUGCAAAGAUAUAUUUCUCAGUUCAUGCUAACUCUUUGCUUCAAUGUUAAAGUCUUUAACAGUUACUUUUCGAUGUUGGAACAUCAGAAAAUCCAAAAGACCCAAAUGGUUUUAAUACUGAUAAAGUUCAAUGAAAUUAUGGAAGCAUGUAAGUCGAAAUUAUUUUCAACUAUCAUGAAGCUUUCAUGUUAUAGAAAGAAUCAUGUUGCCUUAAGAGUUUAGAAAGAAAAAAGAGUAAGGACAUAUAGAUCUUAUUUCCACUUCUUGCAAGUUUACAUGAGAUUAGAUUCCGAAGACAAAAAUUAAAGGAGGAAAAUUUAAACAAUAGAAAACUCAAAUAGUAGCGCUCCGAAAGAUAAAGAUGAGUAGUACGUGAGACAGUAAAUACUAAAGCUAAAACUAUGACCGGCAAUGAUCGUUUUGGAACUUUGAAGGGAAAGUUCAUGUAAUUGAAUGUUGAAGUAACUCUGUUUGUUUGUACUACUAGGAAUUAAAACAUUGGAGUGAGAGAUUAAUAAAAUUCUUGUGAUUCACUUGUGAAAAGUUAUCAUGUAUGAUGCAUACUAGAAACAUAUCAUGCAAGCACGGUAAUUGAAAAGGUAAAAAAGCAACAGACAUGAUUAUAUAAAGACCAAGAAAGAGAAAUAGUGCAUAAAUGCAUUAUUUGUGACAACAUAGUGAUAAUUAGUCUUAUCACUACUUUGCUACAUUAAAACCACAAUAAACAAAAAUCAUAAUUUACAGUUUCAACAAUAUAAAAGAAAAAAACACAACUUGAAUCCAAUAUCUAGAUAUACAUCAUCACUCUUGCACUCUAAGGAAAGGCCGUCCUUGUAUAUAAAAGUUAAGUUCAGAGUCGAGAGUUAAAAAAAGAUAAAUGGUCAAAUUGUUGAGUAGAAAUAAAUAUAACACAAAAGCAUUUGACAAAAAAAACACCAUACCAAAAAACAUUCACGUAUACGGCUAUAGAGACUUGAAUAACCUAAUGAUGCUUAACCAAACUUGCAUUUAAAUGCUAGGAAAUCACAUACAAAGAAUAAGAAAAGAAGAAAUACCUUAUAUGUACUGUGUUAUGGAGAAGAAAUUUAUGUUUUGCCGCAACUUCUUGUCUCUUUCUCUAUCAGGGGAAAGAGAACAAUCAUCAUCAAAUUUUGAAAGUAAUGUAGGACUAUUUCCUUGGCUUAAAAUUUAAAUUUAUGCUUAAUAUAUUCAUUAAAUUAGCUUAUGACCAUUUUACCAAUAGUAUAUUAAGAAUAUGAUAUGCUAGAGCAUACAUUUUGCCUAACAGAUAACAACGUUACCUUAAACUAAAUAUCAAAAUGAACAAUUCACUAGCUCUUUCUGUCUCAUGGUAUAUAAGAAUAAUGAUCCAACAACAACAACAACAACAACCCAGUAUAAUCCCACUUAGUGGGGUCUGGGGAAGGUAGUAUGUACGCUGACCUUACCCCUACCCUUGGGUAGAGAGGCUAUUUUCAAAUAGACCCCCGACAUCCUUCCCUCCAAGAACUNNNNNNNNNNNCCCCUACCCUUGGGUAGAGAGGCUGUUUCCAAAUAGACCUCCGGCAUCAUUCCCUCCAAGAACUUCCCACCUUGCUCUUGGACAGACUCGAACUCACAACCUCUCGAUUGGAAGUGGGGGUUGCUUACCAUCAGAGCAACCCCUCUUGUCACAGAAAUCAUAAUACAAUAUAAGAAUAAUGAUCCAUAAUACAGAAAUCAAAGUACAAAAAUAAAAAUAAAAUGUAAAUGAAAUUUGAAAGAGUUAUCAAUCCAACCUGACUAGAAGGCCAAAUGUGUAGUGCUAUACAAAAGAGACUAAGAAUAAUAUUCUUAAUUGAACCAUAUUUUGAACUACCUAAAAUCUCAAUGAAACAUUGGACUACCGAAAAUCGCAAUGCAACAUAGUUUAAUAGCCAGAACCCACAUGUUAUUCACAUGAAUCAGCUAUCUCAUUCCAAAAGCAAUCAUCUAAUAGAACUCAAACUCGAACACCCAAUUUAAAUUUAAAAAUACACUUUUAACAUUAAUCUUCUCAGUGUCCAACAUAUCAUAUUAGAAAAGUGUUGUAGUACAUUUAGCAGCUACAAAGACCAAAUUAAAAUUGAAAAUAGAGUUUAACAGAAACAAUAAUAGUUCGUAAGUCUGUUAUGCAUCAUAUAAUCAGUUCACAAGCAUAAAGGUGGAAAAAAAUAUCGAUUACAACUUUGCAAAUAAAAUGGUAAUGAUCCACCCAAAACUCAAAAUUGAAAUAAUAUAAUAUUAAUUAAAAUUUUCGAAACAAAAAACAAAGAUAAAAAUUGGCAAAUAAGGCGGUCAAUUAGGAAAAAGAGAUAGGGCAGGAGAGCAAUAUGAGGUUGAUUACUGGGAUGGUUGCCGAUGAUGGGGAGAGAGACAGAAGUUGGGCAGAGGCGGUCGGUUCCUAAACUUCAACAAAUGAGGGAUUUUUGCUUAAUUCAUUAUAUUGUGUUUUCUUGAUUUUGUUUCCAGCCGUCUAGGUUUACUUAGUUGGGAGGAAGUAGUUCAUGAAUGUCCAACAACAUUGGAGGGACCUUUUUUUUUG